rnacentral:pre_miRNA from 1 species
AAAGUAGGACCCUCCGUUCUGAAUUACUUGUCGCAAGUAUGGAUGUAUAUAGAUGUAUUUUAGUUUUAGAUACAUCCAUUUCUGUGACGAGUAAUUUGGAACGGAGGGAGUAUAUU